CGGCCCGGGUCGAGGAAUCUCAAACCGGACGCCUUGUCCCGAGUCUACGUUCCUGCCAUUCGAGAUGACACUGACAUGCCUGUCCUUCCUGCUGCUAAGAUCGUGGCCCCGAUCUCGUGGCAAGUUGAGGAUACCGUGUGACGAGCUCAAGCUAUCGAACCGGGUCUGAAAGGAGGUCCUGCCAAUCGGUUGUUUGUCCCCAAGGCAGCGUGUGGGGGCACUCCUCUCACCUGUCACCCGGGCGUAGAUCGCACCUUGGAGUUCAUCCAGCGAAAGUUCUGGUGGCCCACCAUAAAAGAAGAUGUUGCCACUUUCGUCAAGGCCUGCCCCGUGUGCUGCCAGGGCAAAUCUUCUCACCUCCGCCCUCAAGGACUCCUUCACCCUUCACCUGUUCCACACCGACCUUGGUCCCAUAUCUCGUUGGACUUUAUUACUGGCCUUCCUCCGUCCCAUGGUAAUACUACUAUCCUAGUCAUCAUCGAUAGGUUUUCUAAGGCGGCCAGGUUCGUCCCCUUGACUAAGUUACCUUCUGCCAAGGAAACGGCUGAGUUGGUGAUUAACCAUGUGCUCCGAGUCUUUGGCAUUCCUCAAGAUAUGGUUUCCGACAGAGAUCCCCAGUUCGCCUAAAGGUUUUGGAAGGCCUUCUGCCAACUCAUAGGGGCCACUGCCAGUCUAUCUUCAGGGUACCACCCGGAGUCCAAUGGCCAAACAGAGAGGAUGAAUCAAGAGCUGGAAACCGCCCUCAGAUGUAUGGCCCUUAACAACCCGUCCACAUGGUCGUCCUUCAUUGUUUGGGCCGAAUACGCGCACAACACCUUGCGCUCCUCCUCCACUGGUAUGUCCCCGCACGAGAGUCAGUUUGGCUAUGCCCCUCCAUUGUUUCCGGACCAGGAGGCAGAAGUCGGAGUGCCUUCAGCCUUGAAGUUCGUCAGACGCUGUCGGCUUACGUGGAGGAAGACCCAUCUUAAUCUUCUGCGUUCCUCACAGCGGUACCAACAACAAGCCAACAGACGUCGCCAUCCCGGGCCUACCCUGCGCCCUGGCCAGAGAGUCUGGCUCUCCACAAAAAACUUACCGCUAUGGGUGGAGUCUCACAAGCUGUCCCAGAAAUACAUUGGUCCCUUUAAGGUUGCCAGGAGAGUGAACCCCGUUUCAUAUCGCCUACACUUACCCAGAUCCCUUAAGAUUAAUCCCACGUUUCACAUUUCCUUAUUAAAACCUGUUGUUUUUUCUCCCCUUGUCCCGGCAGACAGACCUCCCCCUCCGCCCCGUGUCAUCGGAGGCCAGCCGGCUUAUACCGUCCAUCGGAUACUGGAUUGCCGCCGGGUGCAGCGGUCCUGGCAGUAUCUGGUGGACUGGGAAGGGGUUUCUGCCAAAGACAUACUGGACCCUGACCUCAUUCGACAGUUCAGGGCCCUCCACCCCGAGAAAGCUGGUGGUGACAGUACUUCAUUGAAGAGACGUGGGAAUUGUGGAACUGCUGUUGAACUUCUCAUCAGGUCAUUCCCAACUCUUUCUGCCUCUUUUCCUUCAUCUCUGAACUCAUCAUUUUAGUUAUGUAUAUUUAAAAAAACUUUAUUUAACUAGGCAAGUCAGUUCAGAACAAAUUCUUAAUUAUAAUGUCGGUCUACCCCUGCCAAACUCUAUCCCGAACGACGUUGGGCCAAUUGUGCGCCGCCAUACGGGACUCCAAAAUCACGGCCUUACUUCUCAUUCCCUCUUUCUGGUCAUGCUUGAUUUGGCAAAUAUAUUUUCAUGUAUUUAUGUACUGAAACUUAAUGUAUAUAUGUUAUGUAAUAACAUGUAUGUACCCAUGGGGAGAGAAAUAAUAAAUUAAAUAUAAUUUAAA